AUGUAGCUCAGUGGUGGAGUGCUUGUCUAGUAGUCAUGCGGUCCUGGGUUUGAUCCCCAGUAU
rnacentral:tRNA from 1 species